UUCGGCCAAGUACUGGAUUCCCACUAACUGAAGAGUUAAUAGCUGGGAGUGACAGUUAAUUUUCCAUAAACCAUCAGAAGUUGGGAAGCCCACUUACAGCCUCUGCUUACAUGUGCUUAUUUUUCUGUCCUCUUUAGUGCUUUAAUGCAAAUACUUCUAAAGUUUUUCAAGUGUGUGGAUUUGUCACAAUCACUACCUUGUUUCAUCUGUCCCCCUCCAGAGUGCUGAAGAACAAAAGACCUUCCAGUGCCAGCAAGGCUGGAGCACAGUAGCAGCGUGGACAUGUGUGGGGCAGUGUAUUUAGACUGGCCUCAUUUACAGUUUGCAAUCCCCAAAACUUUCUGGUCUUAAGCAUUUUGAACUUAAAAGCCUAGUUUUGGAAUAGUGUUUUCCAAGUCCUUUAUUUUAGUAUUAUCGAACACGUUGCCAGACUACCUAUGCAUGUUACAUCACUGAAAUGAUGAACAAUAAAAUGCUUUUAACUCAUGCAUUUUGUUGAGAAUUCCCUGAGACCAGAAGAAAAAAAGGUGAAUAAGGCUCUCUGAAUUGUAGCUUUCCUGAUGAAAUGAAGCAAGAGAAAGUCUCCAGGAGUUUUUUCUUCUGUUUUCUUGUCUGGCUGAAACUGAGGUGAAACUCAAGAGCUGGCACAGUUCAUGUCAGCUAGCCUGGACUCAUCGAGGGAUUUUGAAUCUGUUGGCUGCUGUCAGCUAGCUUUGACAGCGUAGUAGAGGUCUUGAAGAUAAAGAAGAUGUGCUAUCAAAGAAAAUGGACAGCUGUCAAGGAGCCUGCAGAGCUCUCCUGAACAAGGGGGAGGCUGCUACCCUUACCAGCUGUCACUGGAUGCCCCGAGGACUCCUUUCAAACUGAGUCUGACGGACUUCUGACUGUGGUUGCACUGCUUGAUGUACAAUGUGUAGGUGUUAACUCUAACAUGUUGGUGUAAACAUGGCUUUGGCCAUUUAAUUAUGGCCUUGUAGCCAUAUCAGUCAACUCCAUGGGGUCACUUGGAGAUCAGGAUUCGGAGAGAUUCAUUCACCUUUUUCUCUGCUGGUUUCAGGGAGCUCAGAAUAUGCUGCUAUUGCCCUGCUGUGGAUACAAUUGUGAUUUUCAUACGGUGUAAUCAUGUAGUACCAGUGGCCCAAACGACAGUGGAUUUCCAACAUAGUGUCACUAGGUCAUAUUGCUUGAUUUGUUCUGGUUUUAGGUCUCAGCCAGCAUUACAUUGAAACUACUUGUUAUUGAUGUUUAUGGAAAAAAAUAGCCCAAAGAGUGAUGAAGAUAUUUUAUUUACAGACUACCAGUUUUUAACUGUGUCUGGAUAUUGAAUUGUGUUUUUAAAAAGUGUACUUUCUACAAAAUGAUUUGAUAAACACUGACGAAGUUAAAAAAACCUGCCAAACCAAACAAAUCUCUGAUAGGAAAGAGAAAUUGUGUGAUCCUUAAAAUUGCAACAACUUUGCUUUUCCUGUAGUUACAGAAAGUGAUGAAGAAUUUCUUGUGUAGAAGGGUUUUUGCUUGGUUUUUAAAAGUACACAGUUGAAUUCAUGUUCCUUUCUUGAGUUACCUCUGACAAAGGAAAGCCCUCUUGGUCUGUGUAAUUUGAUGGGACAUCAGGGCAAGUGCACAGUUACUAUGUAAUCAAGGUACCAGACAAUUAAAGGUUCUUUCUGUGCCACA